rnacentral:rRNA from 1 species
UAGAGUUUGAUCAUGGCUCAGAUUGAACGCUGGCGGCAGGCCUAACACAUGCAAGUCGAGCGGCAGCGGGAAGUAGCUUGCUACUUUGCCGGCGAGCGGCGGACGGGUGAGUAAUGUCUGGAAACUGCCUGAUGGAGGGGGAUAACUACUGGAAACGGUAGCUAAUACCGCAUGACGUCGCAAGACCAAAGUGGGGGACCUUCGGGCCUCACGCCAUCGGAUGUGCCCAGAUGGGAUUAGCUAGUAGGUGAGGUAAUGGCUCACCUAGGCGACGAUCCCUAGCUGGUCUGAGAGGAUGACCAGCCACACUGGAACUGAGACACGGUCCAGACUCCUACGGGAGGCAGCAGUGGGGAAUAUUGCACAAUGGGCGCAAGCCUGAUGCAGCCAUGCCGCGUGUGUGAAGAAGGCCUUAGGGUUGUAAAGCACUUUCAGCGAGGAGGAAGGCGUUGUAGUUAAUAGCUGCAACGAUUGACGUUACUCGCAGAAGAAGCACCGGCUAACUCCGUGCCAGCAGCCGCGGUAAUACGGAGGGUGCAAGCGUUAAUCGGAAUUACUGGGCGUAAAGCGCACGCAGGCGGUUUGUUAAGUCAGAUGUGAAAUCCCCGAGCUUAACUUGGGAACUGCAUUUGAAACUGGCAAGCUAGAGUCUUGUAGAGGGGGGUAGAAUUCCAGGUGUAGCGGUGAAAUGCGUAGAGAUCUGGAGGAAUACCGGUGGCGAAGGCGGCCCCCUGGACAAAGACUGACGCUCAGGUCAAG